rnacentral:rRNA from 1 species
UGGGAACGUGCCUUUCGGUUCGGGACAACCCAGGGAAACUUGGGCUAAUACCGGAUACGCCCUUCGGGGGAAAGAUUCAUUGCCGAAAGAUCGGCCCGCGUCGGAUUAGCUAGUUGGUGGGGUAAAAGCCUACCAAGGCGACGAUCCGUAGCUGGUCUGAGAGGAUGACCAGCCACACUGGGACUGAGACACGGCCCAGACUCCUACGGGAGGCAG